AUUGAACGCUGGCGGCAUGCUUUACACAUGCAAGUCGAACGGUAACAGGCCGCAAGGUGCUGACGAGUGGCGAACGGGUGAGUAAUGCAUCGGAACGUGCCCAGUCGUGGGGGGUAACGUAGCGAAAGCUACGCUAAUACCGCAUACGAUCUAUGGAUGAAAGCGGGGGAUCGCAAGACCUCGCGCGAUUGGAGCGGCCGAUAUCAGAUUAGGUAGUUGGUGGGGUAAAAGCUCACCAAGCCGACGAUCUGUAGCUGGUCUGAGAGGACGACCAGCCACACUGGGACUGCGACACGGCCCAGACUCCGACGGGAGGCAGCAGUGGGGAGUAUUGGACAAUGGGCGAAAGCCUGAUCCAGCCAUGCCGCGUGUGUGAAGAAGGCCUUCGGGUUGUAAAGCACUUUCAGCGAGGAGGAAGGGUUGUGUGUUAAUAGCACAUAGCUUUGACGUUACUCGCAGAAGAAGCACCGGCUAACUCUGUGCCAGCCGCCGCCGUAGCAC
rnacentral:rRNA from 1 species